AGUGAACGCUGGCGGUAGGCCUAACACUUGCAAGUCGAACGGCAGCACAGUAAGAGCUUGCUCUUACGGGUGGCGAGUGGCGGACGGGUGAGGAAUACAUCGGAAUCUACUUUUUCGUGGGGGAUAACGUAGGGAAACUUACGCUAAUACCGCAUACGACCUACGGGUGAAAGCAGGGGAUCUUCGGACCUUGCGCGAUUGAAUGAGCCGAUGUCGGAUUAGCUAGUUGGCGGGGUAAAGGCCCACCAAGGCGACGAUCCGUAGCUGGUCUGAGAGGAUGAUCAGCCACACUGGAACUGAGACACGGUCCAGACUCCUACGGGAGGCAGCAGUGGGGAAUAUUGGACAAUGGGCGCAAGCCUGAUCCAGCCAUACCGCGUGGGUGAAGAAGGCCUUCGGGUUGUAAAGCCCUUUUGUUGGGAAAGAAAAGCAGCAGGUUAAUACCCCGCUGUUCUGACGGUACCCAAAGAAUAAGCACCGGCUAACUUCGU
rnacentral:rRNA from 1 species